CACGUUCUUUUUUUGUGUCAAUAUAUAAGAAUACCCACUUUCAUAUAGCAAAAAUAAAUUUUACCCACUCAAAUAGAAACUUAAAAAAAUACCCACUUUUUAUAUUAAAAGACUAAAUUACCUUUAAGAUUAAAAUUAAAAAAAUACCCACUCUAAAUCUUCUCUCACUCUGCAAAAAGCUCUCUCUCUCUACACUCUCUCUCUUUCUCUCUCUCCCCCCCCCCCUUCCCUUUUUCUUUCUCUUCCGGCGGCGGAUCGUCGUACUACGGCUAUGGCAGGAGGUGAGGGCGGCGGCUGAGGCGCAUUGCGGUGUGGCGCUCCUGCCGUGGAUGAACGCGAUCUCGAUCUCCACCUCUACAACGACGUUGUCGACGGCGCUGUCGUCGGAAGCAGAUCUGCUGUAGCAGAUAGAGAUUCCGAUCUAGUACGUGAGGAAAGCAGAUCUGCUGCAGGCGGCGGAGGCGGCGGUGAAGAUGCUGCUGGCGGUUGUCGUGAUGUCGAAUCCGACGAUCUGUAAAACGAAAUUUCAGAUCUGGAGCUGCCCAGCCAAGUUCGCCGGAGAGAAGGCGGUGGACGACGACGAGCUCGAGUACUUAGGGUCUCCGGUUGAUUAAUCUCGGUCAUUUAUUCUUUUUUAUCGAAUUUUGUGAUGUAUUGUCUUCUCAAACUAUUGGUUUGCUAUCCUUACCCAAAAAUCGGUAAUUAUAAUAUAUGUAUGUUGAGUAUUUUAUUCUUUGAUUUGUUAUAUGGAAUAAUUUUUGAUAUCCUCGUCUCCACUUUUCACUUUUACAAGAAUCCCUCUGCAAUUGAUCA
rnacentral:lncRNA from 1 species